AUCCUUUGGUCGUUCAUAAGCAUGACGAUUGGGCUUUCAUGCUCAUGCAUGAGAUGGGCCUCCCUUCAGUCUUGUUACAGGCCGGCCUCUGUGGCUCAUGCCUGUAAUC
rnacentral:snoRNA from 1 species